rnacentral:rRNA from 1 species
CCCUUAGACGUUCUGGGCCGCACGCGCGCUACACUGACGAAGGCAAAGAGCUUUCCUUUACCGAAAGGUACGGGUAAUCUUUUGAAACUUCGUCGUGCUGGGGAUAGAUCCUUGCAAUUUUUGAUCUUAAACGAGGAAUGCCUAGUAAGCGCAAGUCAUCAACUUGCGUUGAUUACGUCCCUGCCCUUUGUACACACCGCCCGUCGCUACUACCGAUUGAAUGGUUUAGUGAGGCCUUCGGAUCCGCGACUCGUUUGUGGAGAAGUUGGACAAACUCAGUCAUUUAGAGGAAGUAAAAGUCGUAACA